AAAAACCUCUUGGGCCUAUCUGAACUUCAGCUAUGGAACCUAUGACAUCUCGAAAAUCCCUCUCCACCCUUCUUCUGUUUCUAAUCCUUUCAUUUCUUCUUGCUUUGGCAUCAGCUUCACUGGCAUCUCAAGGGAGGGCCCUCCUCCAGUGGAAAGCCAGCCUCCGAAGCCAAGGAUCACUUGAAUCUUGGAACCUCGACACCAGUCCGUGCAACUGGACUGGAA
rnacentral:lncRNA from 1 species